CUGGUCCAACAAAUAUAGUACAAUGUCUUUAGAAUAUAACUAAUGUUAUUUAUGAACAUUUCUUGAUAGCUUGUAAGGGCAAAAUUAAAACGAAUAUUCAGUUCUAGGCCGGAUAUAGUUAAACGUAUGGUCAAACUAAAUCCAACAUGAUAUCUUUAGCAUGGAUUAGGUAGGAUUACUCGAGAUAACACAGAGAAAAAAGUCUAUAAAAAUAUCACUACAGGAUACUGAGAUAUCACAUUAUAUUAAUUAGGGAAAAAAAUUUCCAAUGUCUUUUAUCAUGCACCGUAUGCUAUGUUUUCCCUACUUCUGGUAAGAAGUAAACAUCGAAGAUUUGUGUCAAAUUGUGUAGAACACCACUCUGUUCGACGAAUUCCUAGUUAUUGUUGAGUAAAUCGCGCAUGGCGAACAAUAUAUGUUACACCAGGCAGCAUUGUCCACUACAGAAAAAUUACUACCACCCGAAUCUACUUCGAGCUGCAAGGGUACCUCUAAUGUAGCUAAAAUGUUUUCUGUAGACUUGAGACCGUACAUGAAUUAACAGCAGUUGGUGCAAGAUAUCGUCAAAUUUGUAUCACGAAUUUCAAAAUGUCAAGAUCCGAUUCAACAUCAAACACCUCAAAAUAAUGUAAAACGUAGAUAAGGUAAACCAACAUAAGAAUCAUCUGUAGAGGCAUUUUUGAAAACCAUGCAUUAUUUCGAAAACACUGAAAGGGAACAAAUAACUGUGUCAGAUCUUGUUAAGAAAUUAUUAAAUGAUAAAUAUUUUAGAUCCAAGGCAAAAGUUUUUGUAAAUAAACACAGUUCACAUGUUGACAUUGAAAGAGUUGGUAUUAAAUCAUUUGUACGUUUGUACAAAGAUAAAACAAAUGGAACAUUAUACACAUUAAGGUACUGAAAAGUUACUACGAAGGCAACAACAAGCACAUCGGUGGUGAAGAUACAGACCCUACCUCCAACAGAGGUAGAUGCAAAGUUUCAUAGUUUAAGAGUGUACUGUCAUUAAAGUACAAAAAUAUAUUGGAUGGAAAACAAACCCUCUUCACUGGGAAUGGUGAUAAAAAUGGUGAUAAACUUGUUCCUUUGCACAGGCUGCUCUAAUGGGAUGGCUGUAGAUGUUAUAGGAAUGGAAUCGAACCAUUAACUUUACUGACGUUCAUAAUCUUGAGCGAGUGAUGAAUUUUUUUUCACUUCCUGAAUUUGCAAUUAACAUGCUUUAAAGAACCAUGUCUUAUUUCUAAGGACAGCAGACCAACUUCACAAUAAAGCAUUACAUUACAGUAUAUCGUAGAGUUUUGUCCUCGCAGUGCUUUUAUUUUUGUGCAUUACGACGUUGUGUGCAUUUGCUGUUAGCUGAAAAUUUUAACAUUUUACUGUGGUGACCUCUUCUAUAUUUACUGUAGCACAGACACUGGAAUUCUUUUCCUUUAUGUUUCUUUUAAUAUACUGUUGUAAAAAUUAUAACAUUUGUUACAUUUAGUACGAUUUUCAAGGAAAUAGUUUAAACAUAUAGCAUGUACGUUUUAUUGAUGGGUGGGGUAAAUAUAUAUUGUAAAUUAAUACAUUUAUUUGUAAAUAUCUUACAACAUAGUUCAGUAUCAGCUUUAAUUUAUAUGACAUUUGAUAUGAUUAAAGCCCCUGAUGGAAGAAAUAAACCAACGUAUAGGUUUAAGCGAAUGUAUAUUAUCUAAUGAAUGAACCUCUUGAAUCGUCUGAAUCAUUCAAUUUCAAUGAGCCCAACCGCUUAGCUCAGUAGUGAGAGCGUUCGUCUACAGAUCGCGGGGUCGCAAAUUCGAUCCCCGGGCGGGGCGUAUGUUCUCCGUGACGAUUUGAUAAAAGACAUUGUGUCUGAAAUCAUUCGUCCUCCACCUCUGAUAAUUCAUAUGGGGAAGUUGGCAGUUACUUGCGGAUAUCAGGUUUGUACUGGUACAAAAUCCAGGAACACUGGUUAGGUUAACUGCCCGCCGUACAUGACUGAAAUACUGUUGAAAAACUGCGUUAAACACAAAACAAACAAACAAACAAUUUCAAUGAAGGUGCCCUUCAUGAUCUCAUUUUUUUAUUACAUUUUCCAAUGGGAAUUUUUUGAGGACUUUUUUUCUAAAAUGCUCUGAUAUCUAAAGAUUGUAAAACAAUAAAAACAUUUUAUGAUGGAAUUUGUUUCACCAUUUGACAUAAUCUAAGGUAAUAUGACCGGACUAUUCAGAGGCUUUCGGCAUUUCUGAAACAUGUCUUGAUUACAAUCAUAAUAGUUGUAUAGAUGGUAUCAUUUGUCAGAGAUACAUGAUGUCCUGAAUAUCUACUUUAUGUAGGUAACGUUAUUAUAUGGUUCAUGUUUGCUCAUUAUAAAUAUUCAGUACUCUCUUAUGACUCUAUUUUAACUGUGUUCAGUUAUUUUCUGUGGUAUUUUCUUACUUUUUAUGUUAUACACUUCCGAUAUCUAUUUCUAUAUAUAUUUCAUUACAUCAAACUUUUGAUCGUUUUGUGAAGUUUCGUUACAUUGUGACCCGUGCAAAAUCGAGGUUUAGAUUGCGUGCGACCUUCAGCAAGAAUACAGUCGUCAAUAUAAGUGAAUCGCGCCAUCAAUGUCUGUAAAAUUCCGUCUGUUCAGUCCAAGUAACUUCAUUAUUCUCUUCAAAUGCCGUAGACUGAUGCAAACGUCAAAGUCCUUAUUUAAAACAUGCCGAAUUUCCUAGUAUUUCAACCCUUUUCAAACAAUUCACCGAUUAGCACUUCCCUAUAACCGACUUCAGUUAUGAAAAAUGGCAUCUCUUUCACGUUUACUCAUUGGUCAGCUAACACGUGCGCAGGUGUUUAUUAACACGUUCGCACGAAGUAGCUAACACAUGCGCACGUGAUAAAUAAUACUUCAUAUGUCCCCUCUAUGCCACCGUAUUAUACCCCCUUAGUAAUUAAAAAUGAUUUUCUAAUGACACUAGCGGUAAUACUGAUUUGCACUGGGUAUAAACAUUUCAACAUUUUGAGGCCCUGCAAGGAAGAAUUCAUUUGCAAGGUUUUUUUUUUUUUGUUAUAAUUUCAUGGUACUGCAUUUUAACGAGAAAAUAGUAGUUGUCGCAACAAUGCACUGAAUAGUAAAUUUCUGUUUGAAAAAGGAUGAUCAUAUCAUUUCAUUUAUUUUUAUUGGUGGUGAAACAACAUUUUGUACCUUGCAACUAUUAAUGGCGGGAAACAUUUAUCUCUAAGCGAGUCUCAAAGUACUGAUUAGUCCCGAGUAAAACCGUCUGAGAAAGAUAAAUAUAGCCGUCAAGUUUCAAGGCUAUAUUAUGCAAGAACCUAAACAAAAAAAAAACAA